AGAGUUUGAUCAUGGCUCAGGAUGAACGCUAGCUACAGGCUUAACACAUGCAAGUCGAGGGGCAGCAUGAUUGAAGCUUGCUUCAAUUGAUGGCGACCGGCGUACGGGUGAGUAACGCGUAUCCAACCUGCCCACCACUUGGGGAUAACCUUGCGAAAGUAAGACUAAUACCCAAUGACGUCUCUAGAAGACAUCUGAAAGAGAUUAAAGAUUUAUCGGUGAUGGAUGGGGAUGCGUCUGAUUAGCUUGUUGGCGGGGUAACGGCCCACCAAGGCGACGAUCAGUAGGGGUUCUGAGAGGAAGGUCCCCCACAUUGGAACUGAGACACGGUCCAAACUCCUACGGGAGGCAGCA
rnacentral:rRNA from 1 species